rnacentral:lncRNA from 1 species
UUGUAUAUUUCUUAUUGCUUACACCACUAUAUAUAGUGGUUCAUACAAGGUGGAGUCAAAGGGAGAAUUGAUUACAAAGAGACUCUACAUAAUGACAUGGUCAAACUCAUAAAAACUAAGGUUGAAUGGUUCUUCCAUGUGGCUGGAUGUAAACCCCCAAUUGACUAGCCUUGAACUUGUAUGGUCUGGGUUAUGGACCAUCCACUUCAUGAUUCAUAACAAAAACAGUUUAUUUCUUCUCUGCAAAGAGAAAAAUUGUUUUAACCGCCUCAACCGUAACAUCCAUGAUCUCCACCUCUUCCUACAUCAUCUCAAAUAAAUGAACGUUAGAAUCACUUCUACAACAGAUCCAUUUAUAAAAUUAUUUAAACAGUUAAAGUUCUUGCACAUAGUAAAUAAUUUUAAAUUUAUAAAUUUAUCAUUUUUAUAUACGUAAACAUGCUUAAUUUAUUAUAAAUUAAAAUGAUUCAUAUACUAAACUAUAUUUUUAUACAUAAAAUUAUAUUUAAAGUAUAUUUUAUGUUCAUUUUUAUAAAACUAAUAUAUAUAUAUAUAUAUAUAUAUAUAAAUUUUAUAUUGAUAUUUAAUGUAAAAUCAUAUAUCCGUCGAAAUCCGUUUAGGUGUCGGUGUAUAUAAUUAAGCUUUAGAAAUUGAGUGCCUAGCGGUUUUAGAACACCACCUCUAAUGAUCUUCACCAAGAAUAGAUUUGGAUUAAGAAAACUAAUCACGAUCAUUUUGUCUUAAGAGUAGGAAUAAAGACAACAAUCCACUCUUCUUAACCUACUCCCACCGCUAAAAUCAUUAGGAAUUAUUUAAACUUGCAAGUCAUAUAUGAAACAUAUUCACAUUUAGAUUAAUAAUUCAUUUGGUAAAAGCGAUGUCGAACAACAAAAAUGUUUAUUUUGUCGGCUCAUUAUUUCGAAAUGAUGAUGUUCUUUUACAUAAGCUAUUAUUAAUAAACAUACUAUGAAAACAAUUGCCCGAUCUAUGAUCAUGUAAGUAAUCAUUAAUCGUAACUUGCAAGUCAUACUCUUCAUAAUCUUAUCUUCUUAUCAUUCGUGUUACCAGUUUAUCUGAGGCGCUGCUGCGUUUUCUAAAAGAC